CCCCGGUAAACGGCGGCCGUAACUAUAACGGUCCUAAGGUAGCGAAAUUCCUUGUCGGGUAAGUUCCGACCUGCACGAAUGGCGUAAUGAUGGCCAGGCUGUCUCCACCCGAGACUCAGUGAAAUUGAACUCGCUGUGAAGAUGCAGUGUACCCGCGGCAAGACGGAAAGACCCCGUGAACCUUUACUAUAGCUUGACACUGAACAUUGAGCCUUGAUGUGUAGGAUAGGUGGGAGGCUUUGAAGUGUGGACGCCAGUCUGCAUGGAGCCGACCUUGAAAUACCACCCUUUAAUGUUUGAUGUUCUAACGUGGACCCGUAAUCCGGGUUGCGGACAGUGUCUGGUGGGUAGUUUGACUGGGGCGGUCUCCUCCUAAAGAGUAACGGAGGAGCACGAAGGUUGGCUAAUCCUGGUCGGACAUCAGGAGGUUAGUGCAAUGGCAUAAGCCAGCUUGACUGCGAGCGUGACGGCGCGAGCAGGUGCGAAAGCAGGUCAUAGUGAUCCGGUGGUUCUGAAUGGAAGGGCCAUCGCUCAACGGAUAAAAGGUACUCCGGGGAUAACA
rnacentral:rRNA from 1 species